rnacentral:rRNA from 1 species
AGAGGCCACUGCUAUCAGCNUCCGAUUAAGCCAUGCGAGUCGUGGNCACCCCNUCUUAUGAGGGGGAGACCCGGCGGACGGCUCAGUAACACGUGGCUAACCUACCCUCGGGUCCGGGAUAAACCCCGGGAAACUGGGGAUAAUACCGGAUAGGCCUCUGAUACCUGGAAUGGGCGGAGGCCGAAAGCCGAGAGGCGCCCGAGGAUGGGGCUGCGGCCGAUUAGGUAGUUGUCGGUUUAACGGACCGACAAGCCUACGAUCGGUACGGGCCGUGAGAGCGGGAGCCCGGAGAUGGGCUCUGAGACAAGAGCCCAGGCCCUACGGGGCGCAGCAGGCGCGAAACCUUCACAAUGCCCGAAAGGGCGAUGAGGGGACGCUGAGUGCCCUUCGGGGCUGUUCGGGUGCCUAAAAAGCACCCGGAGUAAGGGCUGGGUAAGACCGGUGCCAGCCGCCGCGGUAAUACCGGCAGCCCGAGUGGUGGCCGCGUUUAUUGGGCCUAAAGGGUCCGUAGCCGGUCGGGUAAGUUCCUCGGGAAACCUCGCCGCUCAACGGUGAGGCUUCCGGGGAAUACUGCCUGACUUGGGACCGGGAGGGGCCGGAGGUACUCCCGGGGUAGGGGUGAAAUCCGUUGAUCCCGGGAGGACCACCCGUAGCGAAGGCGUCCGGCUGGAACGGGUCCGACGGUGAGGGACGAAGGCCAGGGGCGCGAACCGGAUUAGAUACCCGGGUAGUCCUGGCUGUAAACGAUGCGGGCUUUGCGUCGGCACUGCCACGAGUGGUGCCGGUGUUGAAGGGAAGCCGUUAAGCCCGCCGCCUGGGGAGUACGGGCGCAAGCCUGAAACUUAA